UACGUAGGGUGCGAGCGUGUCCGGAAUUAUUGGGCGUAAAGAGCUCGUAGGCGGUGUGUCACGUCGGCCGUGAAAACCUGCAGCUUAACUGUGGGCGUGCGGUCGAUACGGGCAUCACUGGAGUUCGGCAGGGGAGACUGGAAUUCCUGGUGUAGCGGUGAAAUGCGCAGAUAUCGGGAGGAACACCAGUGGCGAAGGCGGCUCACUGGACAGGUCCUGACACUGAGACGCGAAAGCGUGGGUAGCAAACAGG
rnacentral:rRNA from 1 species